UACAGAGGGUGCAAGCGUUAAUCGGAAUUACUGGGCGUAAAGCGCACGUAGGCGGUUUUUUAAGUCAGAUGUGAAAGCCCCGGGCUCAACCUGGGAAUUGCAUUUGAAACUGAGGAACUAGAGUGUGUGAGAGGGGGGUAGAAUUCCAAGUGUAGCGGUGAAAUGCGUAGAGAUUUGGAGGAAUACCAGUGGCGAAGGCGGCCCCCUGGCACAACACUGACGCUCAGGUGCGAAAGCGUGGGGAGCAAACAGG
rnacentral:rRNA from 1 species